ACGCUAGCUACAGGCUUAACACAUGCAAGUCCAGGGGCAUCAGGAAGAAAGCUUGCUUUCUUUGCUGGCGACCGGCGCACGGGUGAGUAACACGUAUCCAACCUGCCCUUUACUCGGGGAUAGCCUUUCGAAAGAAAGAUUAAUACCCGAUAGCAUAAUGAUUCCGCAUGGUUUCAUUAUUAAAGGAUUCCGGUAAAGGAUGGGGAUGCGUUCCAUUAGGUUGUUGGUGAGGUAACGGCCCACCAAGCCUUCGAUGGAUAGGGGUUCUGAGAGGAAGGUCCCCCACAUUGGAACUGAGACACGGUCCAAACUCCUACGGGAGGCAGCAGUGAGGAAUAUUGGUCAAUGGGCGCUAGCCUGAACCAGCCAAGUAGCGUGAAGGAUGAAGGCUCUAUGGGUCGUAAACUUCUUUUAUAUAAGAAUAAAGUGCAGUAUGUAUACUGUUUUGUAUGUAUUAUAUGAAUAAGGAUCGGCUAACUCCGUGCCAGCAGCCGCGGUAAUACGGAGGAUCCGAGCGUUAUCCGGAUUUAUUGGGUUUAAAGGGAGCGUAGGUGGACUGGUAAGUCAGUUGUGAGAGUUUGCGGCUCAACCGUAAAAUUGCAGUUGAUACUGUCAGUCUUGAGUACAGUAGAGGUGGGCGGAAUUCGUGGUGUAGCGGUGAAAUGCUUAGAUAUCACGAAGAACUCCGAUUGCGAAGGCAGCUCACUGGACUGCAACUGACACUGAUGCUCGAAAGUGUGGGUAUCAAACAGGAUUAGAUACCCUGGUAGUCCACACAGUAAACGAUGAAUACUCGCUGUUUGCGAUAUACAGUAAGCGGCCAAGCGAAAGCAUUAAGUAUUCCACCUGGGGAGUACGCCGGCAACGGUGAAACUCAAAGGAAUUGACGGGGGCCCGCACAAGCGGAGGAACAUGUGGUUUAAUUCGAUGAUACGCGAGGAACCUUACCCGGGCUUAAAUUGCAGUGGAAUGAUGUGGAAACAUGUCAGUGAGCAAUCACCGCUGUGAAGGUGCUGCAUGGUUGUCGUCAGCUCGUGCCGUGAGGUGUCGGCUUAAGUGCCAUAACGAGCGCAACCCUUAUCUUCAGUUACUAACAGGUCAUGCUGAGGACUCUGGAGAGACUGCCGUCGUAAGAUGUGAGGAAGGUGGGGAUGACGUCAAAUCAGCACGGCCCUUACGUCCGGGGCUACACACGUGUUACAAUGGGGGGUACAGAAGGCAGCUAGCGGGUGACCGUAUGCUAAUCCCAAAAGCCUCUCUCAGUUCGGAUCGAAGUCUGCAACCCGACUUCGUGAAGCUGGAUUCGCUAGUAAUCGCGCAUCAGCCACGGCGCGGUGAAUACGUUCCCGGGCCUUGUACACACCGCCCGUCAAGCCAUGGGAGCCGGGGGUACCUGAAGUACGUAACCGCAAGGAUCGUCCUAGGGUAAAACUGGUGACUGGGGC
rnacentral:rRNA from 1 species